GCGAGGGUUGCCCAGCCAGGUCAAAGGCGAUAGGUUGAGGGCCUAUUCUUGUAGGAGUUCGUGGGUUCGAAUCCCAUCCCUCGCACCA
rnacentral:tRNA from 1 species